rnacentral:rRNA from 1 species
CCUACGGGAGGCAGCAGUGGGGAAUAUUGCACAAUGGGGGGAAACCCUGAUGCAGCGACGCCGCGUUGGAGGAAGAAGGUCUUCGGAUUGUAAACUCCUGUUGUUGAGGAAUGAUAAUGACGGUACUCAACAAGGAAGUGACGGCUAACUACGUGC